UUGGGUUCUACCGCCACCUCGCCCCAGGAUGACGGGUUGGGUUCUACCACCACAACGCCGGAAUAUGGGUCGGGUUCUACCGCCACCUCGCCCCAGGAUGACGGGUCGGGUUCUAUCGCCACCUCGCCCCAGGAUGACUGGUCGGGUUCUACCACCACAACGCCGGAUGAUGGGUCUGGUUCUGUAAACAGCACUGAGAGUCCUUCUGAAUAUGUUUCGGAUGUGGUGUAGUUAUGUGCUGUCAAACGUUGUUUAACCAAAUAA